AACCCCGUUAGGAGUAGAGAGAAAACCCUCGCCCAAACAUAAAAAAAAAGGAGGAAAAAAAGGAGAAAAUGAUGAGCUAUGCCAAAGAUAAGGGAGAAACAAACUACAUCUAAGAUAUAAGGGACCUCAUCUCAACGAGGAAGAAAACUCUUAUAAAAAAUUCUCAGUCUCUAAGGGGGAACCCAACACUAGCAAGAGAAAAUAGACUCCCUUAAAGUAACGAGAAGUUCAGGCCCCAAGCUCGAGCACC
rnacentral:lncRNA from 1 species